GUCUUCGGCCAUACCACCCUGAACGUGCCUGAUCUGGUUUCUCAUCUCAGAAACUAAGCUUGAAUGGGAGAAAGCAAAUCAGUGGUUGCCUAGAGACA
ensembl:rRNA 5S_rRNA 5S ribosomal RNA